rnacentral:rRNA from 1 species
GACGAACGCUGGCGGCGUGCCUAACACAUGCAAGUCGAGCGGAGAUAGUCGAGAAGGCAACUUUUAGAAUAUCUUAGCGGCGGACGGGUGAGUAACACGUGGGCAACCUGCCUUUUACAGGGGGAUAACACUGGGAAACUAGUGCUAAUACCGCAUGAAACAUAUUACGGGCAUCUGUGAUAUGUCAAAGGAGUCAAAUCCGGUAAAAGAUGGGCCCGCGUCCGAUUAGCUAGUUGGUGAGGUAAUGGCUCACCAAGGCGACGAUCGGUAGCCGGACUGAGAGGUUGGCCGGCCACAUUGGGACUGAGACACGGCCCAGACUCCUACGGGAGGCAGCAGUGGGGAAUAUUGCGCAAUGGGGGGAACCCUGACGCAGCGACGCCGCGUGAAGGAUGAAGGUUUUCGGAUUGUAAACUUCUUUGGCCGGGGACGAAAAAUGACGGUACCCGGUUACAAGCCACGGCUAACUACGUG